CAUAAUGGCUGCAGCCCGAGGGCCCAUAUGCUCGCCAUCCUGCGAGGUGGAAGGCCAGCUCUGAUCACAUCCAGCUGCUGGGGGUACAACUGAUCAGACUCUCAGAACCAGAGUUCUUGGCAAGAUACUUUUGGAAGCACACCUCAAUCAGACCACACUUCCAAAGAGCUGAGCCUUCAGUGCUGGCAGGCAGUGAUUUUGUAUUUUGGAGUAUUGUCUUGCACAUCAUUCCCUGACACAGACACACAGACCACUAAUGGCAUGAUAGGAGUAAGUGUGUACCUAUCUAUAUUUUAUUACUCAUGCCAUUUCAGGGUUUGCAGAUAAUUAACUCUCCAUACUUAUUCAUCUGUUUCCCCUCAAAAAUCUUCUCAUUCCACUUAAAACCCUUAUUUGUGGUCCAAGCAGCAGCACACUUAAUCAGACUCAACAGGGCCUCAGAGCAGUUUUGGAGAGGCCUUAAAAUUUCUGAACACUCUAAAUCCAAACCAUGACAAAUGGGAUUGCUCCCAUCCAGCCUCCCCUGGCCACAAUGAGCACUACCCCCCUCUCCUAUUACUUCAGAGCUCUGAACCCCAUGACAGGGAUCCGGCCCCUCAAACCUGAGUGUUUCUCCAACACUGUGUCAGGCCAGACACACUGACUCAAGCCAACACUACCAUUGAACCAAAAUAUUUUGAUUUGAUAAAACAAACUCCUCAACUGUUUAGACUUUGACUGAGCAGACUCACAAUGGAGGUUUCCUUUUCAACUUCCCUAUUUAUUCUCAUCUCUGCCUUCGUGCAGUUGGGGUGAGCACAGCCAAACCCAUUCCCUUCUCCUUUCCCCCAGAUCCCCAGGGAAACGCCAGGACUCCAGGACUGUCUCCCACAGCAUGGUGCCAACCCAUCUGUGGAUGACUUCAGGAAACCCGACACAUGGCUAAAAUGCACAAUUAUUAUUACAGCUCUUCACUUUCCAGUUGUACAAGCACUUCCCACAAACCCUGCAUGGAAGUGAAAGGCCUCAUUCCAAUUGUUAAUGGGUUUACAGAAGGCAGGGUCCUUCCAAAACAUCCUUGUCUCCCUUUUUCAAUAAAAGAACCUUGUGCUUUUCACAGCUCCCUGUGUACAAACCAGCUCUCAGUGCUCACGGUGGGAGGUCUCUUCUUGCAUCAGGUUAAAGCCAGACAGAAUCAAUUAAAGCAAAAAGGAUGGGGUCUGCUGAGAUGACAGAAGGCAUUUGGGGCAAAAUCUCCAGCUGAAUGCAGGAGAGAUGCCAUUGCCCAGGCUCUUGUUCCUCCAUGGAAGCUGUGGCACAUCAUCUCUCCUGAUGAUUUCAGGCUGCCAGUCCUACAGAAUUUUUUUUUUUUUUUUUUUUUUUUUUUUUGUAGCAGUGGAUUAUGGGGCAAAAUAGCAAGGAAGAUACACAUCAGAGACAGAGGAUAUGAAUGUAGGAGAUGAGCAGAGGAGGGACUUUGGGAGGGAUGAAUAACAGCUUUGCUUCCCUCCAUUACUCAGGGAUGACUAAUUCCUGUGGGGCCCUGAGAUAAGAAAACCAAACCCAGAUUUCUGUACCUCACAGAUGAACACAUCACUGCUCCUUCUGAAGACUCAUUCUCCACUUUCUAUCCCUCCACAAGCAACCCCUCAGGAUCUCUUUUCUAUAUUUGCACCUAUUCUAUAUCCCCUCAGACCCACCCCAUGCACACCCCCAGCUUUGUCCUGCAGUGACCCCAGGCCAUCCCCCCAAGGCCUGCAGCCCAUACAGACGCUCAGAACAGAUGUUGGCUUUGUAACUCUACCCCCCAGACCGUGAGCCCUGCCCCUCCCUCCCUCCUCAGCUGACAUGCCAUCCAAUUUGUCACAUACAAGGGAGGUCAGGGUCCUGCUGGGUGCCCAACAUCUCUCAGCUUGGGGCACUUAGUUUCACAUUUUUUCUCCAACUAAACAAGAUGUUCUAGCAGAGGAAAAACAAGGCAAAGAAACUGGUGUGAGAGAAAGAUUGAUACAGGCUGUGCUGGUUGCAUGCAAAAGGGCAGACGGGUGGAUUUCGCCUGAGGCAAGCAUAUGAGGCUGGAGAGUGGGAGGGACUCUCCCGUCCCUGGGAGCUUCCCCUGUGAGCCGCUGGCACCAAUCAGAGAGCUGAUUUGGUGAUGGACAGCUCGGGAAACCAAUGAAAAGUUAUUUCUCGUUCACAAAUCACAGUGGCUCAUGUUAAGUACCCUCUUUCGGCUUCCGGCCUCCGGAGGUGUGGCGGCCUCUGGCCGGGGCACCGGGCUCGGCCUGGGGCCCGGCCCAGCUGCAAGGUCCCGGCCCCCCUCCCGACCGCAUGGCUCCGGGCGGCCCCGGCCCGACUCUCCACGUGGCGUGGCCGAGUGGGGGGUAUCAGGGAGCCACCAAAGGCUCCCCCUUCUCCCCUCCCCGUUCUGAGAGAAGAGGCCUCCAGCUGCCCAUGUGGUUUUCUUCACGAUUUGGAUACAAUUUUAACUUCUUAAUGCCUGGAUAAGAUUUUUCCAUCUCCUGAGUUCCCUUGAAUGAGAAGGAAUAAAACAUGGAGUCCACAGAAGGCAGCGGAAUGAAGAUAAAGAUUCUGAUGGGAAGAGUUUGAAAAGAUGCAACUGAUAAGUAACUAAAAACCUUUUUGUGGGGCUAUGAGGGGAUUGUGACUUCACUAAAAUUCCUUUAAACUGUGAAAUAUACUUAGGGAGGUUUGGGCUGCUUGAGAAAAAGACUUUUUGCCUCGGGGAAAUUGAGCUUUCUGUUUUGGGACUGGAAGAUGAACAGAGACAUUUGAUAAAGAAAGAGAUAAAGAGAAUUUUGAUUUUCAACAGCCUGCCUUUAAAAGUAGUACCCCAUGCGUGCAUCGUAACCCAUAACACAGCUCUGGAAGGACUGUGUAAAUGGGAGGAAAAUUCAUAGUUCUGUAGGUUCCGGGCAAAUGCAGACUGUAAAGGUAAAGACCCCCCCAAGCCAUAACUAAAAAAAAAGGGACUUUUCUCUCUUAAGUGAACUGAAAUAAUUAUUUGAGUGGAUAACUGACUGAAGUGUUCUCUGUAUGUUGUUGUUAAGGAAUGUGGAAUGAAGGAAAGGGGAGGAGGGAAUAAUCUAGGAAUCUUAUUCUGAAUUCUUUUUGUGUUAUUAAUAAAUUUCUUCUUGUACCUUUUU